GUGCUCGCUUCGGCAGCACAUAUACUAAAAUUGGAACCAUACAGAGAUUAACAUGGCCCUUGCUCAAGGAUGACAUGCAAAUUCAUGAAGCAUUCCAUGUUUUG
ensembl:snRNA U6 U6 spliceosomal RNA